rnacentral:rRNA from 1 species
UACGGAGGGGGCUAGCGUUAUUCGGAAUUAUUGGGCGUAAAGAGCUCGUAGGCGGUUUGUCGCGUCUGCCGUGAAAGUCCGGGGCUCAACUCCGGAUCUGCGGUGGGUACGGGCAGACUAGAGUGAUGUAGGGGAGACUGGAAUUCCUGGUGUAGCGGUGAAAUGCGCAGAUAUCAGGAGGAACACCGAUGGCGAAGGCAGGUCUCUGGGCAUUAACUGACGCUGAGGAGCGAAAGCAUGGGGAGCAAACAGG